ACGAACGCUGGCGGCGUGCCUAAUACAUGCAAGUCGAACGAGCUCUCCUAAAUUGAUUUUAUGCUUGCAUAAAUGAUUUUUAGAUUCGGAGCGAGUGGCGAACUGGUGAGUAACACGUGGGUAACCUGCCCCGAAGCGGGGGAUAACAUUUGGAAACAAAUGCUAAUACCGCAUAAUUAGUUGGAACCGCAUGGUUCCAACUUGAAAGAUGGCUCUGCUAUCACUUUGGGAUGGACCCGCGCCGUAUUAGUUAGUUGGUGAGAUAAAAGCCCACCAAGACGAUGAUACGUAGCCGACCUGAGAGGGUAAUCGGCCACAUUGGGACUGAGACACGGCCCAGACUCCUACGGGAGGCAGCAGUAGGGAAUCUUCCACAAUGGACGAAAGUCUGAUGGAGCAACGCCGCGUGAGUGAUGAAGGUUUUCGGAUCGUAAAACUCUGUUGUUAAAGAAGAACAAGUGUUAGAGUAACUGUUAACACUUUGACGGUAUUUAACCAGAAAGCCACGGCUAACUACGUGCCAGCAGCCGCGGUAAUACGUAGGUGGCAAGCGUUGUCCGGAUUUAUUGGGCGUAAAGCGAGCGCAGGCGGUUUUGUAAGUCUGCUGUGAAAGCCCUCAGCUCAACUGAGGAAGUGCAGUGGAAACUACAAAACUUGAGUACAGAAGAGGAAAGUGGAACUCCAUGUGUAGCGGUGAAAUGCGUAGAUAUAUGGGAAGAACACCAGUGGCGAAGGCGGCUUUCUGGUCUGUUACUGACGCUGAGGCUCGAAAGCAUGGGUAGCGAACAGGAUUAGAUACCCUGGUAGUCCAUGCCGUAAACGAUGAAUACUAGGUGUUGGAGGGUUUCCGCCCUUCAGUGCCGCAGCUAACGCAUUAAGUAUUCCGCCUGGGGAGUACGACCGCAAGGUUGAAACUCAAAGGAAUUGACGGGGGCCCGCACAAGUGGUGGAGCAUGUGGUUUAAUUCGAUGCUACGCGAAGAACCUUACCAGCUCUUGACAUCUUCUGCCAACCCAAGAGAUUGGGCGUUCCCUUCGGGGACAGAAUGACAGGUGGUGCAUGGUUGUCGUCAGCUCGUGUCGUGAGAUGUUGGGUUAAGUCCCGCAACGAGCGCAACCCUUAUUAUUAGUUGCCAGCAUUUAGUUGGGCACUCUAGUGAGACUGCCGGUGAUAAACCGGAGGAAGGUGGGGACGACGUCAAAUCAUCAUGCCCCUUAUGAGCUGGGCUACACACGUGCUACAAUGGAUGGUACAACGAGUCGCGAAACCGCGAGGUCAAGCUAAUCUCUUAAAGCCAUUCUCAGUUCGGAUUGCAGGCUGCAACUCGCCUGCAUGAAGUUGGAAUCACUAGUAAUCGUGGAUCAGCAUGCCACGGUGAAUACGUUCCCGGGCCUUGUACACACCGCCCGUC
rnacentral:rRNA from 1 species